GGACAUGUUUGCUUGUGGAUCCCAAUUGAGGCGUUCUCUUUUGCCUGUUCUCUCUUUUGUUGGUCCUAAGGGACAAUGGGAGUCUUCGGGGAGGCUGACCUUUGCGGACGGACACGCAAGGGUGCCGCACGACUUAGGCAAAACCAGCUAAGUCCGUGUCAUAUGGUAUCAGAGCGGGACAAGCACUCAUAGAAACACUUGACAUGCAAACGUGGGGGACCUAGCGGGGCUUUGUUGAGGGCAGUCAACACACGCGCGACCGUUUGAGGGAAAACGGGCAUGGAGAUGUAGGGAAAAGAGUCGCUCAGAGGAGCGGGCAUCUGAGAUUGGCAUUC
rnacentral:lncRNA from 1 species